rnacentral:rRNA from 1 species
UACAGAGGGUGCAAGCGUUGUUCGGAGUUACUGGGCGUAAAGCGCGCGUAGGCGGGUUGGUAAGUCCGCUGUGAAAGCCCGGAGCUCAACUCCGGAGGGUCGGUGGAUACUGCCAGUCUUGAAGGUGCUAGGGGGAGAUGGAAUUACCGGUGUAGCGGUGAAAUGCGUAGAUAUCGGUAGGAACACCAGUGGCGAAGGCGGUCUCCUGGGGCAUUCUUGACGCUGAGGCGCGAAAGCUGGGGGAGCGAACGGG